GUAAAUAAAGUUAUUAAGAAAAAAAACCGGUUCUCGUCUGAUCACCGAAGUUAAGCCUGGUCGGGCGAAGUUAGUACUUGGAUGGGUGACCGCCUGGGAAUACUUCGUGUUGUAGACU
rnacentral:rRNA from 1 species